CGCAGACGCACUUUCUGGCUUGCGAGGUAGUGGGGGUUUGGAUAGUCGGAGGGUGUUCUUUUCUCCUUGGAGUUGGCAAAUUUCUGAAGCCUCUUCUGUAGGAGCCACGUGUGGAAUUGCUUGCCUACUUUCUGUGGGCUAUGAAGAGCGGCGAUUGUUGUGAGUCACAUCCGGGUAGUCAGAAGGUUCCCAUAAAGACAAUCCUGGCUUCUCAGGGCCCCUGUCUUUUUCAGCUUUGCCUUCUCAGGUGUCUAUUUGACUAGACAAAUGGCAUUAAGAAAGAAGACCUGACUACAUUGCCUUUGACCUCCAGCUCCUUCCCUGUGUUCACCCUCAGCUGAUGAUCCUGCUUCCUGUUUCACUGAGAGGAGAGAACAACCAGAAAAGAACCUCCAAAGGCUCUCAUCCUCCCGUCCACCAACCUUCCUGGAAGUAUCCCCAUGUAGUCUGUCCUCCUGGUAUGAUACCGAAAAGGUCUGUGCUCUAAUUAUGGCCAGCCCCUCUUCUUAUGUGUUAGAUCUCACUUCCUCUCAUAUUCCCAGGCCAGUGUCUGGGAUAAUCAUUGGACAAAAUUCCUGAUAGUUCUGUUGUUCGUAUAUAUAUAUUUUUAAAUGGAUAUAUCAACAACAGUAAUUUUUCCAGAAAAAUUCAAAUGCAGAUUUAAAAAUUGUAAAUGAUAUAAUAUCCAUCAACACUAAUAUGCCCUGGAAGUAAUCUCUACAGUUAUUUCAUGCAUCUGUCAUUCUUGAGUUACAAGGGACUUCUGUUCGAAAAGCUCACCUAUAGCCCUUAUUGGAACAGAACUAAACGUAUAAGAUUUCCUUCUCUUCCAAGUGUGUCUCAUUUUCAGUUUAGUUUAUUUCGAACAUAGAAAAGACAAGACAUCUUAGCCAAUUCUUAAAGCUCUGCUAUCUAUAUUUUCAACUUGGGCUUAAACCAUUGAAAUGUAGUGAUUUCACUUCAGUUGCCUACGGAUCCCAUUGUCAUUCGUGCGUGGAGAUUUGCUUUACAGGCAUUCAAGUUGCAAGUGUCAACUGUGAGGCUGUCCAUUUAAAAAUGUUUACUGCUAUCUGUUUGAUUAAAAACAGAUGCAUUGUUAUGGUCUUCAUUAUUUAAACACUUAAUUUAUAAUGUAUUCAUGUCUUUAGAAAGACUCAGGUAAAGUUGAAUAGCUCGUUGCUACAGACUUCUAAACCAUUGAUUUUUAAUAAUUUUUAUCUCUGGAUUUAACUGAUAAUUCAAAAUAUACUUUUGGUCAUUCUUGUCAUUUUCUUUUCAUAAAUAGUGCUCGGACUAUUUUUAAAUGGAGAGAAAUAAUACUGAACUUGAGAAUGGGAGAGAGACUACAGUGCUAGCAGCUGUGUGACCUUAGGCAAGUUACUUCAUUCCUGCUGGUUGAAUUGUGUCUUGGGCAAACUAGGGUAUUAGUCGUCAUGUUUCCUGAGCCUCUUUCUAGCUCAAAUGCCUGACAUUAUGACAUCGUUUGUGAGGUUCAGAAAGUAAAAGCCUCUAGCAUCUGGUCCUUGUGUUCACCUUCUUGUCUUUACUUCUCUAUCAACAUCAGAGUCAGCCCUGAAAACAACAACAACAAAGAAUUCACAGUUUGAUGAUCUGAGGAACAUGGCAAAGAUUAGGACAGUUGCACAUCUUUGCCUGGCUGAUCAUGGGGAUGGUUCUGAGUUGAGAGAAUAGUAACCACACGGAGUUUUAAUGACAGAUGUCAGGUCACCAGGAUACUAGGACGUAAGAAAGACAGGGUCUAUGAUGACAUUUUUGGGGGGGUUGUCAUGGGUUCUGUCUGGCUACUCAGAUUCAGAAACCUCACAGAUUCAGCAACAACAGCAGAGGUAUGGUUUAGAGUUCUGAGAUGCAGGCUUCCAGAAACUAAGCUGAUAAAGGAAUAAAUAUCAGUUUGUAGAAUAUUAAUCAACAAGUACUCACUGAAACAUCUAAAAUGCACCCUACUGAGUACAUGGGGCUUUAAAAAAAUUGGUGAUUGUAGUCCUUGCUCAGAAAUAAGAAAGUUGACCACAGGAAACAUUAACUCUAAACUUCUUUUGCAGUUAGAAGACAUUCCAUAAAUGCUGGAUUGAAAAAUGUAAUUAGUAAUGGUUUAGCUCUAGAUAGGCCUGCACAGAAGAAGGGGGACAGACUAGAUGAUUUUUUAGGAUCCUAAUCCUGUUCAAUUCUGAAUUUUUUACGGUAGUUUCGUAAUGCAGUCUGUACACCUUGAUUGACUAUUGAGACAUAGGGAAAAAUAGUGUCUUAAGUCACACUUCUUUAAGGUAGCUGGUUUAACUGGCAGGAUGCUAUUGUGCAGAGACCACUGGAUUGGGAAUCGAGAGUAGUCUUCACUCAUUCAAGAAAUAUUUAAUGGAUGUGUCAUAUAUACCAGGUUCUGUGUGUGGCGCUAGAGACAAACGAGUAAUUUAGACAAUGUCAUUGUCCUCAAGAUUAUACUCUAGGAAGGAAAACAGAACAUUGAAAGUGGAACACUGAAACAUAAUAAAUGUAAUAAUAGAUGGAGUAUAAUAUGCCAUGGGUUAAUUUUUGCAGGUAACAUAAUUAUUAUUAAAAUAUAUGAUUAAAACAAAGAUAAAUUAUUGUCACGAACCUGGUAUGAUUGUAAUGAAACUUUAAUACAUAUAAAUAAGUGCCCUUUUCAAAAAAGGUCCCCUCCCCGAAAGACUCUUACAGUUUAAACACCCACUUAAUGGUAUAUGAGAGCACCUAUUUCCCCACAUAACUUAAGCAGUACUGGAUAUUAUCUGUAUUUUAACAUUUUUGCCAAUCUGAUUUUGAAAAAUGAGAUCUUAUUUUAAUUUGUGUUUCCAUGAUUAAAGGUGAG